rnacentral:rRNA from 1 species
UACGUAGGGUGCAAGCGUUGUCCGGAAUUAUUGGGCGUAAAGAGCUCGUAGGCGGUUCGUCGCGUCGGCUGUGAAAACCCGGAGCUCAACUCCGGGCCUGCAGUCGAUACGGGCGGACUCGAGUUCGGCAGGGGAGACGUGGAAUUCCGAUCGUGGUAGCGGUGAAAUGCGCAGAUAUCAGGAGGGACACCGGUGGCGAAGGCGGUUCUCUGGGCAUGACCUGACGCUGAGGAGCGAAAGUGUGGGGAGCGAACAGG